UACGGGGGGGGGCAAGCGUUGUUCGGAAUUACUGGGCGUAAAGGGCUCGUAGGCGGCCAACUAAGUCGGACGUGAAAAUCCCUCGGCUUAACCGGGGAACUGCGUCCGAUACUGGAUGGCUUGAGUUUGGGAGAGGGAUGCGGAAUUCCAGGUGUAGCGGUGAAAUGCGUAGAUAUCUGGAGGAACACCGGUGGCGAAGGCGGCAUCCUGGACCAACACUGACGCUGAGGAGCGAAAGCCAGGGGAGCAAACGGG
rnacentral:rRNA from 1 species